rnacentral:pre_miRNA from 1 species
AGCCUUCUGUAUCCGUGAUGAGAUUCCGUCAGAGAUCAACCAGUUGGCACUGGCUGAUGCAACUUCCCAAAUAAGUGAAGCG